UCCUACGGGGCGCAGCAGUGGGGGAUAUUGCACAAUGGGGGAAACCCUGAUGCAGCGACACCGCGUGGGUGAAGAAGCGCUUCGGCGUGUAAAGCCCUAUCAGUGGGGAAGAAAAAGGACGGUACCCAAAGAAGAAGCACCGGCUAAAUACGUGCCAGCAGCCGCGGUAAUACGUAGGGGGCAAGCGUUAUCCGGAUUUACUGGGUGUAAAGGGAGCGUAGACGGCCAGACAAGUCUGAAGUGAAAAUCCAGCGCUUAACGUUGGAAGUGCUUUGGAAACUGCCGGGCUGGAGUGCAGGAGGGGG
rnacentral:rRNA from 1 species